rnacentral:rRNA from 1 species
GAUGAACGCUAGCGGCAGGCUUAAUACAUGCAAGUCGAGGGGCAGCAUGAUUGUAGCAAUACAAUUGAUGGCGACCGGCAAACGGGUGCGGAACACGUACACAACCUUCCAACAAGUGGGGGAUAGCCCAGAGAAAUUUGGAUUAAUACCCCGUAACAUAGCGAUGUGGCAUCACAUUGCUAUUAUAGAUUUUUCGCUUGUUGAUGGGUGUGCGGCUGAUUAGAUAGUUGGCGGGGUAACGGCCCACCAAGUCUACGAUCAGUAGCUGAUGUGAGAGCAUGAUCAGCCGCACGGGCACUGAGAGACGGGCCCGACUCCUACGGGAGGCCGCAGUAAGGAAUGUUGGACAAUGGACGCAAGGCUGAUCCAGCCAUGCCGCGUGAAGGAUUAAGGUCCUCUGGAUUGUAAACUUCUUUUAUAAGGGACGAAAAAAGGCUUUUCUAAGUCGUCUGACGGUACCUUAUGAAUAAGCACCGGCUAACUCCGUGCCAGCAGCCGCCGCGGUAA